rnacentral:rRNA from 1 species
GAACGAGAAAGUGGAGCAAUCCAUGAGUAAAGUGGCGACCGGGUGAGUAACACGUGACUAACCUACCUUCGAGUGGGGGAUAACCUAGGGAAACCGGGGCUAAUACCGCAUAACAUCGCAAGAUCAAAGAAGCAAUUCGCUGAAGGAGGGGGUCGCGGCUGAUUAGUUAGUUGGUGAGGUAACGGCCCACCAAGACGAAGAUCAGUAGCCGGCCUGAGAGGGCGCACGGCCACACUGGAACUGAAACACGGUCCAGACUCCUACGGGAGGCAGCAGUGGGGAAUUUUGCGCAAUGGGGGAAACCCUGACGCAGCAACGCCGCGUGGAGGAUGAAGUCCCUUGGGAUGUAAACUCCUUUCGAUCGGGAAGAUUAUGACGGUACCGGAAGAAGAAGCACCGGCUAACUCUGUG